AGUUGGGUAAUAGUCCUGAGUUCACGGUCAAGGUGACCAAGAGUGAUGUUGCUUCUGGUGUUUCCUAUAGAGCCUGCUCACUUUCUAAGAGAUGAAGCAAUGUUCCUAUAAAGCCUUGGAGGAUAUUAUCAGCUCCAAGAAUUGACUGCUUCAGCACUGGAAUGAGAAUAUAUCCUGCCACUCUGCAAGCUGAUAAGAAGGUGUAUGGAAGAAAUUCGGAACAUAGCACUUUAAGAUUUAGAAAACUGGUAGAUCUCCUGAGGUACUGUCUGGGAGGAAUGUCUGAAAAAUUCUCUGGAUGUAUAUAGGCUUCUUGCCACUUCUUUGCUCUGAGUAGUUAAGAUAUUUGGCUAUCAAGAUAUAUUUAUUGUUUCAAGUAAAUUUCCAGAUUGCUGUAGGCACAAUCAUCACCUGGGCCAAAUCA